AUUGAACGCUGGCGGCAUGCUUUACACAUGCAAGUCGGACGGUAACAGGUUAAGCUGACGAGUGGCGAACGGGUGAGUAAUGCAUCGGAACGUGCCCAAUCGUGGGGGAUAACGCAGCGAAAGCUGCGCUAAUACCGCAUACGACCUGAGGAUGAAAGCGGGGGACCGUAAGGCCUCGCGCGAUCGGAGCGGCCGAUGUCAGAUUAGGUAGUUGGUGGGGUAAAGGCCCACCAAGCCGACGAUCUGUAGCUGGUCUGAGAGGACGACCAGCCACACUGGGACUGAGACACGGCCCAGACUCCUACGGGAGGCAGCAGUGGGGAAUUUUGGACAAUGGGCGAAAGCCUGAUCCAGCAAUGCCGCGUGCAGGAAGAAGGCCUUCGGGUUGUAAACUGCUUUUGUACGGAGCGAAAAGGUCCUUUCUAAUACAAGGGGCUCAUGACGGUACCGUAAGAAUAAGCACCGGCUAACUACGUGCCAGCCGCCGCGGUAA
rnacentral:rRNA from 1 species